rnacentral:tRNA from 3 species
AAAUAAGUAACAUAAUAAUGUAUUUAGUUUCGACCUAAAAAAUAAUAGAAAUUCUAUUCUUAUUUA